rnacentral:rRNA from 1 species
GUUAGGAAUCUUCCACAAUGGGGGCAACCCUGAUGGAGCAACACCGCGUGCUGGAUGAAGGCCUUCGGGUCGUAAACAGCUUUUGUAUACGAAGAAUAUGACGGUAAUAUACGAAUAAGGGUCGGCUAACUACGUGCCAGCAGCCGCGGUCAUACGUAGGACCCAAGCGUUAUCCGGAGUGACUGGGCGUAAAGAGUUGCGUAGGCGGCUUAUUAAGCGAGUAGUGAAAUCUGGUGGCUCAACCAUCAACACAUUGCUCGAACUGAUAGGCUUGAGAAUGGUAGAGGUAGUUGGAAUUUCUUGUGUAGGAGUGAAAUCCGUAGAUAUAAGAAGGAACACCAAUGGCGUAGGCAGACUACUGGACCAUUUCUGACGCUGAGGCACGAAAGCGUGGGGAGCGAACCGGAUUAGAAACCCUAGUAGUCC